AGCGAACGCUGGCGGCAGGCCUAACACAUGCAAGUCGAACGGACCCUUCGGGGUUAGUGGCGGACGGGUGAGUAACACGUGGGAACGUGCCUUUAGGUUCGGAAUAGCUCCUGGAAACGGGUGGUAAUGCCGAAUGUGCCCUUCGGGGGAAAGAUUUAUCGCCUUUAGAGCGGCCCGCGUCUGAUCAGCUAGUUGGUGAGGUAACGGCUCACCAAGGCGACGAUCAGUAGCUGGUCUGAGAGGAUGACCAGCCACACUGGGACUGAGACACGGCCCAGACUCCUACGGGAGGCAGCAGUGGGGAAUCUUGCGCAAUGGGCGAAAGCCUGACGCAGCCAUGCCGCGUGAAUGAUGAAGGUCUUAGGAUUGUAAAAUUCUUUCACCGGGGACGAUAAUGACGGUACCCGGAGAAGAAGCCCCGGCUAACCUCGUG
rnacentral:rRNA from 1 species